GAUGAACGCUAGCUACAGGCUUAACACAUGCAAGUCGCGGGGCAGCAUGGGGGUUGCUUGCAAUCCCCGAUGGCGACCGGCGCACGGGUGAGUAACGCGUAUCCAACCUGCCCUUCACCACGGGAUAACCCGGCGAAAGUCGGACUAAUACCGUAUGUUGUCCGUUGACGGCAUCCGAUUUGGACGAAAGGUUUGGCGGGGAAGGAUGGGGAUGCGUCCGAUUAGCUGGACGGCGGGGUGACGGCCCACCGUGGCGACGAUCGGUAGGGGUUCUGAGAGGAAGGUCCCCCACACUGGAACUGAGACACGGUCCAGACUCCUACGGGAGGCAGCAGUGAGGAAUAUUGGUCAAUGGGCGUAAGCCUGAACCAGCCAAGUAGCGUGCAGGAUGACGGCCCUAUGGGUUGUAAACUGCUUUUAUGCGGGGAUAAAGUGGCCCACGUGUGGGUUUUUGCAGGUACCGCAUGAAUAAGGACCGGCUAAUUCCGUG
rnacentral:rRNA from 1 species